rnacentral:ncRNA from 1 species
AUUGACGGAAGGGCACCACCAGGAGUGGAGCGUGCGGCUUAAUUUGACUCAACACGGGGAAACAUACCAGGUCCAGACAUAGUAAGGGUUGACAGAUAAAGAGCUCUUUCUUGAUUCUAUGGGUGGUGGUGCAUGGCCGUUCUUAGUUGGUGGAGCGAUUUGUCUGGUUAAUUCCGUUAACGAAUGAGACCUCAGCCUGCUNAGGAGGUAUCCCUUCGUGGCCAGCUUCUUAGAGGGACUACGGCUUUUUAGGCCGCGGAAGUUUGAGGCAAUAACUGGUCUGUGAUGCCCUUAGAUGUUCUGGGCCGC